CCCUUGGAUCCAUCCUUUUCUCCUACAGAUUUGGCUAGUGCUGGCGUCAGUGGUGCAGGAUAGAUGGACCAAUAUUUAUGAGGAAAUCUCCCACCUUGCUCCAUGGAACAAACAGGUCACUGAGCAGCAGCCAAAAUCUGCUGCUGCACAGAGCUUAAGGCCUGGGCCCAGUGAUCCUGUUGGCCUCUCCUUUCCUGGGUACUGUGAAUCAGGUGCACCAGCAGCAUUUCUUCAUGCCAGGGCUGAGACAUUAAAAUUAAGUAGUGCAACUAUGUCUGCUACAGAAAUCAAAGGGGAAGGGCAGUCUCAGACAGGAAGGACUCAGUAACAGCUUCAGCUGUCUCCAUCUGCCUCUCCUCCACCUCCACAGGCUUUCCCGAGAAUCCUGAGCUGAGAUGAAUGCUGCCACCCCGACACCUGGCCUCUGAGAAGCCACUAUUUCCCUAUCUAAGCUGGCCAGUCGUGGACAAAUCCCUCAGUUCCGCAGAGAUGAGGUUGGAAUUAGAAGUCAAAUGCAAAUGCAUAGAAAUGGAGGAGUUAACAGCACAGGCAUCUUCAAGCGAAUCCACAAAAAUUUGUUCAGAGCUUAUAGUCUACCCAGCCCCAGUUCCUUUUCCUCAGUAAAGCCUUACUUUGCACAGAAGGUGAAUGUUAGGUCAAGGCACUCAGACUUCCUGCCCAAAAGUCUUUUGAGUUUGUCAGCAGCAAUUGCAUGAGGAAAAGACGAUGCCUGCACAGAAAAGAGACUGUAAGCUCCGCAAGGACAAGAACAGAGUCUGUCUUCGUCGCCACUCUGUCCCCAGUGCCUGGCAUAGAAUGUAGCCCAGGAACCAGGAUCACACCAUGCAUAGCACUCCGGGAACUUCUUAUACAAAGGCCUCUCCAAGCUUCUUCUAGGACCAACCGGCAGUUGAGAUAGAAGAUGUUCUGUUAUGGAAAGGCAGUGUCCUCCAAAACGAUAACAUGUGCAAUUUACCGGGACCUUCUGGAGAUUGGGCUUUAACCCAAAGGAGAAUUUCCGGCAAACACAGCUGGAGGGCAGGAGGUACAUAGAGCCACAAGAUCAACACAGUGCAUCUUUUUCGAGCUUCAAUUCAUGCAAGGAUUUUAGAGACAUGCGGUACUUUCAUGGUAAAUCAAACACAAGUAUACUACAGAG
rnacentral:lncRNA from 10 species